rnacentral:tRNA from 1 species
GAGCCUGUAGCUCAGCCUGGCUAGAGCACCUGACUUUUAAUCAGGGUGUCGAAGGUUCGAAUCCUUCCAGGCUCACCA